AUAACAAUAGUAAUAGUCAAACUUCAAUAUUUUUUAACAUUUUUACUAGUAGUUCUACUAUGGUUAUAUUUCCAGAAGUCCUUGUAGGUUGAGUAAUGCUGAAUCAAAACCCUACAGAAACCUACAGUUGAGGCCAAAAUUAUGGAUUAUGGAACAUUUUGUAAUUCUUCCCAAUGUUUGCAGCAUUGAUAAAACUUGAUAUAAUCAAACAUUCACCAGUGCUAUUUAGUAGCUUUUGGUACAUUUUGGAUUAGAAAAUACAUUUUUAGGCUUGCUUUAUAUCAAAUAAAGUGAAAAAUGGGGUGGUCAUUAAUAUAACCCCGCCAUGUGAAUUUUUGCUUUCAAAACACACCUAAUUAACCAAUCAGCUUUCAAACCACACCUGUGCAGUCAGUUGGCUUCCUAACAACACCUGAGCAUUCAAUCAGCAUAAAAGGACUCCAAGGAACAGGGCACUUGAACACAUUAUUGAGAGGGACUGUUUUUACUCACCAUGCCAAAGACAAAUAAAAGGAAAUCAGUCUUGAGCUCAGAAAGAAGAUAGUGGAGGCUCAUGAUAAUGGGGAAGGCUAUACUUCCAUUUCCAAGCGUUUCACAGUGUCUAGUACCGCUGUACGUUGCAUCAUUGCCAAGUACAAGGAAACAAAUGCAAGAAAACAACCUGGCCGUGGUCGUAAGCGCAAGAUUUCAAGAACUUUACAGAGGAAAAUAGUCAGAUGUCAGCAAGAAGCCCCACACAUCUGCCAAGAUGAUUGUUGCUGACCUAGCCUCUUCUGGAGUUGAUCUUUCAAGGACCACAGUUUUGAAGGCUCUCCAUCGUGGUGGGCUUCAGGGCCAUCGUCCCAGGAGAACCCCUUUACUCAAAGAGCGGCACAUCAAAGCCAGACUGAGGUUUGCCCGUGAACAUUUGAAAGGUACACUCUAACAGUAUGGACGGGCCAGGAUGAUACGUUAAUACUUCAGGACUUACUGCCCUACAGAAAAGAAUUUGACAUCAGUAGGAUCUACUAUGACCUGUCAGACUCCAUCAGGACAGAGCUCAGUCUGACAUGGCAAGACAAAAACUAAGUCUGACUAAAUAUUAGGAUUGUUUCGCUGCAGCAGGCCAAAUCCCUGAAGUGAAGAGGAAAGUGGAUAAUUUCUCUGCCAACACUUUAAUGUGGUUUAUCUUGCAUGGUCUGAUACCAUAAUAUGCUAGUGAAGUGGGUCCUAAUCUGGGCUGGGGACCACCCAGGGGAUAGCAAAACAAACCUUCAAAUUGUUUGUUAAGAUAAAUGAGAUAUAAAAGAAUGAACGUGUUUGUACAUCUGUAGAAAUAUUUUGUUAUAAUUUAUGACAUUUGCAUUUUAGUUUAGACCUGUAGUGAGAUAUACUUCUUCUGGGCUUUCCAGUUUGAAAAUGUAAAAUGAAGUCUGGUGGCGUUGCAGAGACCAUAAUUGUAGGUAUUUUAUGUUAAUAAAUUACAACAUGUUCCCUGUU